UACAGAGGGUGCAAGCGUUGUUCGGAAUUAUUGGGCGUAAAGCGCGUGUAGGCGGCUUUGCAAGUCGGGUGUGAAAGCCCUCGGCUCAACCGAGGAAGUGCGCCCGAAACUGCAGAGCUUGAGUGCCGGAGAGGAUGGCGGAAUUCCCCAAGUAGAGGUGAAAUUCGUAGAUAUGGGGAGGAACACCGGUGGCGAAGGCGGCCAUCUGGACGGCAACUGACGCUGAGACGCGAAAGCGUGGGGAGCAAACAGG
rnacentral:rRNA from 1 species